AGAAUCAACGCUGGCGGCGUGCCUAACACAUGCAAGUCGAACGAGAAAGUGGUCGCAAGACCAUGAGUAAAGUGGCGCACGGGUGAGUAACACGUGACUAACCUACCCUUGAGUGGGGGAUAACUGAGGGAAACCUUAGCUAAUACCGCAUAAUACCUACGGGUCAAAGGAGCAAUUCGCUCGAGGAGGGGGUCGCGGCCGAUUAGUUAGUUGGCAGGGUAAUGGCCUACCAAGACGAUGAUCGGUAUCCGGCCUGAGAGGGCGCACGGACACACUGGAACUGAAACACGGUCCAGACUCCUACGGGAGGCAGCAGUGGGGAAUUUUGCGCAAUGGGGGAAACCCUGACGCAGCAACGCCGCGUGGAGGAUGAAGUCCUUCGGGACGUAAACUCCUUUCGAUCGGGACGAUUAUGACGGUACCGGAAGAAGAAGCCCCGGCUAACUUCGUGCCAGCAGCCGC
rnacentral:rRNA from 1 species